rnacentral:tRNA from 1 species
AUUGCGGUGGCAGAAAUAUGCAUUAGAUUUAAGCUCUAAAGAUGGGUAAUACCCUCGUAAUU